rnacentral:rRNA from 1 species
UAGAGUUUGAUCAUGGCUCAGAAUGAACGCUGGCGGCGUGCUUAACACAUGCAAGUCGCACGAGAACGCUUCUGCUUGCAGGGGCUAGUAAAGUGGCGCACGGGUGAGUAACGCGUGGGUAAUCUACCCUUGGAUUCGGGAUAACCCUUCGAAAGGAGUGCUAAUACCGGAUGAAGUCAUUUAGGCUGUGGUUUAGAUGAUGAAAGGUGGCCUCUCCGAGGAAGCUACCGUUUGGGGAUGAGCCCGCGUACCAUUAGCUUGUUGGUGGGGUAACGGCCUACCAAGGCGACGAUGGUUAGCUGGUCUGAGAGGAUGAUCAGCCACACUGGAACUGACACACGGUCCAGACUCCUACGGGAGGCAGCAGUGAGGAAUUUUGCGCAAUGGGGGGAACCCUGACGCAGCAACGCCGCGUGAGUGAAGAAGGCCUUCGGGUCGUAAAGCUCUGUCGAGUGGGAAGAACCUUCGUAUGUUGAAUAUACAUACGGACUGACGGUACCACAGAAGGAAGCACCGGCUAACUCCGUGCCAGCAGCCGCGGUAAUACGGAGGGUGCAAGCGUUAUUCGGAAUUAUUGGGCGUAAAGAGCGCGUAGCGGCUUUGCAAGUCAGGUGUGAAAUCCCGGGGCUCAACCCCGGAAGAGCAUUUGAUACUGUGGAGCUUGAGUAUGGGAGAGGGAAGUGGAUUCCUGGUGUAGCGUGAAAUGCGUAGAUAUCAGAGACACCGGUGGCGAGGCGGCUUCCUGACCAAUACUGACGCUGAGCGCGAAGCGUGGGGAGCAAACAGGA